rnacentral:rRNA from 1 species
CGUAGGGUGCGAGCGUUAAUCGGAAUUACUGGGCGUAAAGCGUGCGCAGGCGGCGCCGCAAGUCAGGCGUGAAAUCCCCGAGCUUAACUUGGGAAUGGCGCUUGAAACUACGGUGCUGGAGUGUGGCAGAGGGAGGUGGAAUUCCACGUGUAGCGGUGAAAUGCGUAGAGAUGUGGAGGAACACCGAUGGCGAAGGCAGCCUCCUGGGCCAACACUGACGCUCAUGCACGAAAGCGUGGGGAGCAAACAGGAUUAGAUACCCUGGUAGUCCACGCCCUAAACGAUGAUGACUAGUUGUUGGGGGAGUUAAAUCCCUUAGUAACGCAGCUAACGCGUGAAGUCAUCCGCCUGGGGAGUACGGUCGCAAGAUUUAA